rnacentral:rRNA from 1 species
AGCGAACGCUGGCGGCAGGCCUAACACAUGCAAGUCGAACGAACCCUUCGGGGUUAGUGGCGGACGGGUGAGUAACACGUGGGAACGUGCCUUUAGGUUCGGAAUAACCCAGGGAAACUUGUGCUAAUACCGAAUGUGCCCUUCGGGGGAAAGAUUUAUCGCCUUUAGAGCGGCCCGCGUCUGAUUAGCUAGUUGGUGAGGUAAUGGCUCACCAAGGCUACGAUCAGUAGCUGGUCUGAGAGGAUGACCAGCCACAUUGGGACUGAGACACGGCCCAAACUCCUACGGGAGGCAGCAGUGGGGAAUCUUGCGCAAUGGGCGAAAGCCUGACGCAGCCAUGCCGCGUGAAUGAUGAAGGUCUUGGGAUUGUAAAAUUCUUUCACCGGGGACGAUAAUGACGGUACCCGGAGAAGAAGCCCCGGCUAACUUCGUGCCAGCCGCCGCGGUAAAAC